rnacentral:rRNA from 1 species
CCUACGGGGGGCAGCAGUGGGGAAUAUUGGACAAUGGGCGAAACCCUGACGCAGCAACGCCGCGUGAGCGAAGAAGGAUUUCGGGUUGUAAACUUCUUUUCGCAGGGACGAAGCAAGUGACGGUACCUGAGGAAUAAGCCACGGCUAACUACGUACCAGCAGCCGCGGUAAUACGUAGGGGGCAAGCGUUAUCCGGAUUUACUGGGUGUAAAGGGGGUGUAGGCGGGGACGAAAGUCAGAUGUGAAACCCACGGGCUCAACCUGUGGCCUGCAUUUGAAACUGUGUGUCUUGAGUACUGGAGAGGCAGACGGAAUUCCUAGUGUAGCGGUGAAAUGCGUAGAUAUUAGGAGGAACACCAGUGGCGAAGGCGGUCUGCUGGACAGCAACUGACGCUGAGGCGCGAAAGCGUGGGGAGCAAACAGGAUUAGAUACCCGAGUAGUC